UGAGCCGGCCGGGUAAUCGCGGGGGCGGAAUCGACAGCACAGCGAGUUCUCUGCUUGCAGAGACCGUGCCUGAUGCUGCGCAGACCGUCGUCGAGGAAAGUCCGGACUCCACAGAGCACGGAUGUUGCUAACAGCAACCCAGGGCGACCUGAGGGCACGUGCAACAGAAAGUAGACCGCCUGCAGACGCAAUAUCUGCAGGUAAGGGUGAAAGGGUGCGGUAAGAGCGCACCAGCACUGCAGGUGACUGUGGUGGCUAGGUAAACCCUUCCGGGAGCAAGGCAUGAUGGCGCACCAUUGCUGUGGUGCGCCGGCGCGGGCGUUUGAGGGCUGCUCGUCCAAGUCCGCGGGUAAGCCGCGUGAGGCUGCUAGCGAUGGCAGCCCAAGAUAGAUGAUUACCUCUUAUGCCGGGGGAGACCCCGCAUGGUAGACAAAAUCCGGCUUAUAGGCCGGCUCAUUCG
rnacentral:RNase_P_RNA from 1 species